UUGAGAUUCUAGGUCCAAGCAUACCAAAGUUAUAACAAUUUUAACAUUUUAACAUUGAAGGUCACAGUGACCUUGACCUUCAAAUGAAUGACAUUGAAAUGAGCAGUGGUGAUCUUCUAGUACUGGCCAACCUUUAUGUCAAGUUUGAAGACUCUAGGUACAAGCAUACCAAAGUUAUAACAUGGAAUAAGAACUUUAACAUUUUUACCUACCAAAGUUAUAAGAACUUUAACAUUUUUACAUUCAAGGUCACAGUGACCUUGACCUUAGAAUGAAUGACCUUGAAAUGACCAGUGGUCAUCUAAGUGUGCUUGCAAACCUUCAUGUCAAGUUUGAAGACUCUAUGUCCAAGCAUACCAAAGUUAUAACAAUUUUAACAUUUUAACAUUUAAGGUCACAGUGACCUUGACCUUCAAAUGAAUGACAUUGAAAUGACCAGUGGUCAUCUUCUAGUACUGGCCAAUCUUUAUUUCAAGUUUGAAGACUCUAGGUACAAGCAUACCAAAGUUAUAACAUGAAAUAAGAACUUUAACAUUUUUACAUUCAAGGUCACAGUGACCUUGACCUUCAAAUGAAUGACCUUGAAAUGUCCAGUGGUUACUUACUAGUUCUGGCCAACCUUCAUGUCAAGUUUCAAGACUCUAGGUCCAAGCAUACCAAAGUUAUAACAACUUUAACAUUUUUACAUUCAAGGUCACAGUGACCUUGACCUUCAAAUGAAUGACCUUGAAAUGACCAGUGGUUACUAACUAGUUAUGGCCAACCUUCAUGUCAA